AGUUCUACACUCACCCCAACACACCCCUCCAAAAAUAAACGCCCCUCCCUCGCUCCCCCAAUCUCAUCUUCUUCCAACCUCCAUCUUCUACCUCCGCCCUUGCUCGAUUUCGGCGCCAAGCUCUUCCUCGGCCCGAUUCUGCAUAUUCCCUCUCUUACUGCCGAGAUCUCUUGCUCGACCUCUGAUUGCCAAGUUACUAGCCUGUGCUCUUCGAUUCCGAUUCCGAUUGCAAGAGCCAUACUCCUCCUCUACGACCUGGUGAUUAUGAGUCUCCCUCACUGUUGCUAGGUUUUCUGUGCUGCCGAAGAUGAAGCCCUCAUUGGAGAAGCUUAGCUCCGUUCAUGGCACUCCACAGGAGUGAUACCAAGGAGAAAUUGGAAGUCGUCCCAUGGGCUCAUAUCGAUGAGCUCGCCUAGGCCUCGAAGGGCACGAGCAAUCAACACGAACUAUUGGAGAAGAUGAACUCAAAAGUUGCCGAAAAGUACAAAGAAUUUGGAGAUAUCACUUCAAGAUUAAGGGUAUAUGAUAGGCUCACGAACCAGAACUUCAUAAGAAAGAAGGAUGGCGGGUAGAACCAAUAAAACUCACUCGAUAAGAUGACACGCCACAAGUAAGAAAAGUCGGGUUGAUUCGCCACGCUCAAGGAUGAACGAUAAGAAUCGGGAUUUUCGCUACUAAACAAGGGACUUGUUCAUAUAAGAAAAUAUAGGAAAUGCUCUAGGCAAUUUCAUUCAAAUAUUCAUCAAAGUCUCUUUUUUCUUCUCUUACAAUAGGUGCAUAUUUAUAUCGAGGGAAGACACCCCGUUGACUCUAAAAUAGGAAACCGGUAUCUAAUCUCCUCUAGAUUAUUUUCCUAAAAUAGAGUAAGGUAAUAAUCUGAUUGUGUGUUUUUGUUACUUAAUUGCAGGGCUACUGUGAGAGUUAUCUCAUGUUGAUUCUUUUGGAAAUUUUCAUAUAUAUCAUCAGAUGAAAUCAGUAUUAAAGCCAGUGCUAUGCACGGAUGUGCACCAAUGGCUAACUUAUUAAUGUUCAAAUAGAUAUAUAUAUAUAUGUGUGUGCGCGCGCGCGAAUUAUUUCCUGUGUGAGAAUAUCUAAUUUGUCAGAUUUAUAAAAUCCUUAUAUCUAGUAAGUUUGAUUUUGGCAAGUAAUAUAUUUGAAUUCAAUUAAUCUGUGCUAUUUGAAACUGUUCAAAUAAUUUUAUUAAUAGUA